AAGCACCAGUUGAAAUCAGAGC
rnacentral:miRNA from 3 species